UCUAAAAAGGUAAAAUAUGUUAAAACUCAAAACUCUCUUAUUAUCGGCUGUACUAUUAAAGUAGCAAGUAUUUGAGAUAACUCUCAACCGUUGAUCCUGCUGUCUGAUAUAAUCCUCUCAAUCAUUGCUUAAUCGCCACGUGUCAAACAUAUCCAAUUCAAACCGGCUUUUACCGGUUACUAUUUUAUAAUCUCGAAACUGAGCUUGGGACUCAAUCACGCGCGUUAACACUUUUCUAUUCCUCAGUCGCUCUCCUUAUCCCUAUCUGAAAGUAUUUGUCCGAUUAUUUCACUCUCAUUUUAAUCAGUUGACUGUUAAACUAGAGCUAUGACUGCAGAACAGGAUCCGAAUGCUUCGGUGUUCAACGAUGCUGUAAUGAAAGAGUUGAUGAAUAAGGAAAUUAGAUCCGGCAACUCUCCGGCAAAGGCGGCGGCAGCUGAAUACCGGAUUAAGGCAGUGAGUGUUCCUGCUUCACCUAGACGCAUUCGCCAAAUUCAUCAGCCUCGUUGAAAUAUUUAGAUCUGCAAAUUGAUUGAGACACAACUCCAGACUUUUGUUUGUUUCCAGUUUAUCUGUUUGUACUUGUACAUAUAGCUCGUGAACUGUGUGUUUGUGGUAUUUGAUUUAAGGUUGUGAUUGUCAGGAUGUGAUAUGUGUUGGAAAAAUGUUUUGCAACUGCAAAAGCAAAAUUCAUAGCAGAUCUACUUCUUGUCCGACCAUUUGGUUA